GACGAACGUUGGCGGCGUGCUUAACACAUGCAAGUCGAACGGUAAGGCCCUGCUUUUGUGGGGUGCUCGAGUGGCGAACGGGUGAGUAACACGUGAGUAACCUGCCCUUGACUUUGGGAUAACUUCAGGAAACUGGGGCUAAUACCGGAUAGGAGCUCCUGCUGCAUGGUGGGGGUUGGAAAGUUUCGGCGGUUGGGGAUGGACUCGCGGCUUAUCAGCUUGUUGGUGGGGUAGUGGCUUACCAAGGCUUUGACGGGUAGCCGGCCUGAGAGGGUGACCGGCCACAUUGGGACUGAGAUACGGCCCAGACUCCUACGGGAGGCAGCAGUGGGGAAUAUUGCACAAUGGGCGGAAGCCUGAUGCAGCAACGCCGCGUGCGGGAUGACGGCCUUCGGGUUGUAAACCGCUUUCGCCUGUGACGAAGCGUGAGUGACGGUAAUGGGUAAAGAAGCACCGGCUAACUACGUGCCAGCAGCCGCGGUGAUACGUAGGGUGCGAGCGUUGUCCGGAUUUAUUGGGCGUAAAGGGCUCGUAGGUGGUUGAUCGCGUCGGAAGUGUAAUCUUGGGGCUUAACCCUGAGCGUGCUUUCGAUACGGGUUGACUUGAGGAAGGUAGGGGAGAAUGGAAUUCCUGGUGGAGCGGUGGAAUGCGCAGAUAUCAGGAGGAACACCAGUGGCGAAGGCGGUUCUCUGGGCCUUUCCUGACGCUGAGGAGCGAAAGCGUGGGGAGCGAACAGGCUUAGAUACCCUGGUAGUCCACGCUGUAAACGGUGGGUACUAGGUGUGGGGUCCAUUCCACGGGUUCCGUGCCGUAGCUAACGCUUUAAGUACCCCGCCUGGGGAGUACGGCCGCAAGGCUAAAACUCAAAGGAAUUGACGGGGCCCCGCACAAGCGGCGGAGCAUGCGGAUUAAUUCGAUGCAACGCGUAGAACCUUACCUGGGUUUGACAUGGAUCGGGAGUGCUCAGAGAUGGGUGUGCCUCUUUUGGGGUCGGUUCACAGGUGGUGCAUGCCUGUCGUCAGCUCGUGUCGUGAGAUGUUGGGUUAAGUCCCGCAACGAGCGCAACCCUUGUUCACUGUUGCCAGCACGUUAUGGUGGGGACUCAGUGGAGACCGCCGGGGUCAACUCGGAGGAAGGUGGGGAUGACGUCAAGUCCUCAUGCCCCUUAUGUCCAGGGCUUCACGCAUGCUACAAUGGCUGGUACAGAGAGUGGCGAGCCUGUGAGGGUGAGCGAAUCUCGGAAAGCCGGUCUCAGUUCGGAUUGGGGUCUGCAACUCGACCUCAUGAAGUCGGAGUCGCUAGUAAUCGCAGAUCAGCAACGCUGCGGUGAAUACGUUCCCGGG
rnacentral:rRNA from 1 species